rnacentral:rRNA from 1 species
UACGAAGGGAGCUAGCGUUACUCGGAAUCACUGGGCGUAAAGCGUAUGUAGGCGGAAAUACAAGUCAGAGGUGAAAGCCCUGGGCUCAACCCAGGAAUUGCCUUUGAAACUGUGUUUCUUGAGUAUGGUAGAGGAUGGUGGAAUUUCCAGUGUAGAGGUGAAAUUCGUAGAUAUUGGAAAGAACACCGGUGGCGAAGGCGACCAUCUGGGCCAUUACUGACGCUGAGAUACGAAAGCGUGGGGAGCAAACAGG